rnacentral:misc_RNA from 1 species
UUAAGUUCAGCGGGUAUCCCUACCUGAUCCGAGGUCAACCUUUAAAAAAUGGGGGUUGCUGGCAGGCCUCCGCACGACACCAGAAGCGACGAGUAUUACUACGCUUAGGGGUCAAACGGUGCCGCCACUGACUUUGAGGCAGGCCCUACAGGGCGAGCCCAAUACCACGCCAGGCGUGAGGGUUGUAAUGACGCUCGAAC